UGGUCACAUACCAAGGUUUUCAGGAUUCUUUGUUCCUGACUUGCUGUGGACUUGACCAGAAAACAAAAAACCAUCCCAGCAGGCUUCUGUAGCAGCCUGCUUUUAAGACUUGCUGGGAACAUGA
rnacentral:snoRNA from 1 species